AGGACGAACGCUGGCGGCGUGCUUAACACAUGCAAGUCGAGCGGUGAUCCUCCUUCGGGAGGUGAUCAGCGGCGAACGGGUGAGUAACACGUGGGCAACCUGCCCCUCACACUGGGAUAACCUCGGGAAACCGGGGCUAAUACCGGAUACGACCUCGAGCGGCAUCUCUUGAGGUGGAAAGCUCCGACGGUGAGGGAUGGGCCCGCGGCCUAUCAGCUUGUUGGUGGGGUAAUGGCCUACCAAGGCGACGACGGGUAGCCGGCCUGAGAGGGCGACCGGCCACACUGGGACUGAGACACGGCCCAGACUCCUACGGGAGGCAGCAGUGGGGAAUAUUGCGCAAUGGGCGAAAGCCUGACGCAGCGACGCCGCGUGAGGGAUGAAGGCCUCGGUUGUAAACCUCUUUCAGCAGGGACGAAGCGAAAGUAGACGGUACCUGCAGAAGAAGCACCGGCUAACUACGCGCCAGCAGCCGCGGAA
rnacentral:rRNA from 1 species